CACGUGGGUAACCUACCCAUAAGACUGGGAUAACUCCGGGAAACCGGGGCUAAUACCGGAUAAUAUUUUGAACUGCAUAGUUCGAAAUUGAAAGGCGGCUUCGGCUGUCACUUAUGGAUGGACCCGCGUCGCAUUAGCUAGUUGGUGAGGUAACGGCUCACCAAGGCGACGAUGCGUAGCCGACCUGAGAGGGUGAUCGGCCACACUGGGACUGAGACACGGCCCAGACUCCUACGGGAGGCAGCAGUAGGGAAUCUUCCGCAAUGGACGAAAGUCUGACGGAGCAACGCCGCGUGAGUG
rnacentral:rRNA from 1 species